rnacentral:rRNA from 1 species
UACGUAGGUGGCAAGCGUUGUCCGGAUUUACUGGGCGUAAAGAGCGCGCAGGCGGUCGGAUAAGUCGAAUGUGAAAAGCCCCCCGGCUCAACUGGGGGGAGGGUCAUUCGAUACUGUUCGACUCGAAGGCAGGGAGAGGGGAAAGUGGAAUUCCCCGGUGUAGUGGUGAAAAUGCGUAGAUAUCGGGGAGGAACACCCGUGGCGAAGGCGGGUUCUCUGG